GCUGAAGUUUGCGCCACCGCACCCAACCGGGAAAGUCAGUCAGUCAGUCAGUCAGGUUCGACGGCAGUUUGUUUUGCUGCGCGUAAAAGUUCUAUUUUGAAUAACUCUACAUCGCUCUGCUACACGCGCUCAUGGAACGAAAAGGGGCGAGCGGCAGCUACCUGUUUUGCGAAUUAUCAUGGACUCUCCCCCCAGGUCGGGGAGUAGAACAUAAAUAAAUGGAUGGAAUAAAAAAAACUUACAGGCUAACAGGUUGUGUUGUGGCAUGUCGUUGUUUUGCGUUUGAAGUUGAGUGAGUUUCGGGCGUCAACGUACGGUUGAGUUAAAAUAUGUUUUCGUAGCAAAAUGGGCAUUUCCACGAAUAUUAGCUUUUCAGUGUUAGUAAAGGAUAUAAAUAAAGUAAAA